GCUACUUACGCCGUGGCUGCCUGCUACUCGUCGCCUGAGUGUUGAGCCUAUGUGGUAACCAGUUCAAGCCAGCUUUCUGGUUUUGAUCAGUUCUGUUUUCGCGUUAGGAAACUGUAACCUGUGUGUGCGACGAUCCUAUCAUCGUUCCUCUAGCGCUUGGACCCUUUUGGAUUACCUGUCUGGAUUCUGCAUACACUCCAGGACCGGCCAUUCUUCAUCUUCUACUGGACCUAUGCUACACUACGACAAGGGUACUCCUCCUGCAGACCUGUUCACCCUCCAACGUAACUCCAGCUUCACCCUCCGCUCACUUCCCACGGAGAGUACGAGUGCUGUGAAUUCUACGUUAGUUUCUUAACUCCGUCUCCCCUGGCGAAUUCCGUUCUCUCUCUAUUGGAGAGACCAGACUCCUGUCACUUCCUUGUAGGAUUUAGGAAAUAAUAAACUUCUUUUCACCGUGAGAUUAUCUCUGCUUGUGUUCUUUCUGUAAGUGGGUCAGAUCAGUGUCAAAAAUGAUGUCACUCACAUAAUUUUGGAGAAAUUUUGAGCAGGUUUUUGCAAUAAAACUCUAUCACAACA